rnacentral:rRNA from 1 species
UCCUACGGGAGGCAGCAGUGGGGAAUUUUGGACAAUGGGCGAAAGCCUGAUCCAGCAAUGCCGCGUGAGUGAAGAAGGCCUUCGGGUUGUAAAGCUCUUUUGUCAGGGAAGAAACGGUGUGGGCUAAUAUCCUGCACUAAUGACGGUACCUGAAGAAUAAGCACCGGCUAACUACGUGCCAGCACCCGCGGUAAUA